GUGCUCUCUUCGGCAGCACAUAUACUAAAAUUAGAACAGUACAGAGAAGAUUAGCAUGGCCAAUGCACAAGGAUGACACACAAAUUCAUGAAGUGUUCCAUAAAAAA
ensembl:snRNA U6 U6 spliceosomal RNA